rnacentral:rRNA from 1 species
GGAUUACCUCAGUAACGGCGAGUGAAGCGGUAACAGCUCAAAUUUGAAAUCUGGCUCCUCGGGGCCCGAAUUGUAAUUUGUAGAAGAUGCUUUGGGUCUGGGCCUGGCCUAAGUUCCUUGGAACAGGACGUCGUAGAGGGUGAGAAUCCCGUAUGCGGCUGGCGCCCGUGCCCGUGUAAAGCUCUUUCAACGAGUCGAGUUGUUUGGGAAUGCAGCUCUAAAUGGGUGGUAAAUUUCAUCUAAAGCUAAAUAUUGGCCAGAGACCGAUAGCGCACAAGUAGAGUGAUCGAAAGAUGAAAAGCACUUUGGAAAGAGAGUUAAACAGUACGUGAAAUUGUUGAAAGGGAAGCGCUGGCAACCAGACUUGGGCGCUGUUGAUCCGCUAGGGUUCUCUCUAGGGCACUCGGCAGCGCGCAGGCCAGCAUCGGUUUGGGGGGUUGGAGAAUGGCUGGUGGAAUGUGGCUGUCUUCGGGCAGUGUUAUAGCCACCGGUGGCAUGCAGCCUCCCCGGACCGAGGACCGCGCUUCGGCUAGGAUGCUGGCGUAAUGGUUGUCAGCGAC